GCAUACUUGGCCGAGUGGUCUAAGGCGUUGGGCUUAAGACCCACUGGACACUUUCCGUCCGCGCAGGUUCGAACCCUGCAGUAUGCA